rnacentral:rRNA from 1 species
GACGAACGCUGGCGGCGUGCUUAACACAUGCAAGUCGAACGGAAAGGCCUCUUUCGGGGGGUACUCGAGUGGCGAACGGGUGAGUAACACGUGAGUAACCUGCCCUUUACUUUGGGAUAACUUCAGGAAACUGGGGCUAAUACCGGAUAGGAGCUCCUGCUGCAUGGUGGGGGUUGGAAAGUUUCGGCGGUUGGGGAUGGACUCGCGGCUUAUCAGCUUGUUGGUGGGGUAGUGGCUUACCAAGGCUUUGACGGGUAGCCGGCCUGAGAGGGUGACCGGCCACAUUGGGACUGAGGUACGGCCCAGACUCCUACGGGAGGCAGCAGUGGGGAAUAUUGCACAAGGGGUGGAAGCCGGAUGCAGCAACGCCGUGUGCGGGAGGACGGCCUUCGGGUUGUAAACCGCUUUCGCUCAUGACGAAGCUUUGUGUGACGGUAGUGGGUAAAGAAGCACCGGCUAACUACGUG